ncrna:unclassified sequences SAM-I/IV variant riboswitch
GCGCUACAUCAAGAAUACUUAAGUGUAUACCAACCGAACGAUAACGGUGGUUUAACGAUGUGGGCAUCCUAGUCAAAGUCGAUUCUCAUAAU